GAUGAACGCUGGCGGCGUGCCUAAUACAUGCAAGUCGAGCGAACAGAUGAGGAGCUUGCUCCUCUGACGUUAGCGGCGGACGGGUGAGUAACACGUGGAUAACCUACCUAUAAGACUGGGAUAACUUCGGGAAACCGGAGCUAAUACCGGAUAAUAUAUUGAACCGCAUGGUUCAAUAGUGAAAGACGGUUUUGCUGUCACUUAUAGAUGGAUCCGCGCCGCAUUAGCUAGUUGGUAAGGUAACGGCUUACCAAGGCAACGAUGCGUAGCCGACCUGAGAGGGUGAUAGGCAACACUGGAAAUGAGACACGGUCCAGACUCCUACGGGAGGCAGCAGUAGGGAAUCUUGAGCAAUGGGCGAAAGCCUUACGGAGCAAUGCCGCGUGAGUGAUGAAGGUCUUCGGAUCGUAAAACUCUUUUAUUAGGGAAGAACAAAUGUGUAAGUAAAUAUGCACGUCUUGACGGUACCUAAUCAGAAAGCCACGGCUAACUACGUG
rnacentral:rRNA from 1 species